rnacentral:rRNA from 1 species
GGGGGAACCCUGAUCCAGCAAUGCCGCGUGAGUGAAGAAGGCCUUCGGGUUGUAAAGCUCUUUCAUCAAUGAUGAUAAUGACAUUAGUUGAAGAAGAAGCCCCGGCUAACUUCGUGCCAGCAGCCGCGGUAAUACGAAGGGGGCUAGCGUUGUUCGGAAUCACUGGGCGUAAAGCGUAUGUAGGCGGAUCAAAAAGUUAGAUGUGAAAUCCCUGGGCUCAACCCAGGAACUGCAUUUAAAACUAGUGAUCUAGAAUUUGGUAGGGGUUAGUAGAAUUUCCAGUGUAGAGGUGAAAUUCGUAGAUAUUGGAAAGAAUACCAGUGGCGAAGGCGACUAACUGGGCCAUUUUUGACGCUGAGAUACGAAAGCGUGGGUAGCAAACAGGAUUAGAUACCCUGGUAGUCCACGCAGUAAACGAUGAGUGCUAGUCGCUGGGACAAUAGUUUCAGUGUCGAAGCUAACGCAUUAAGCACUCCGCCUGGGAAGUACGGUCGCAAGAUUAAAACUCAAAUAAAUUGACGGGGGCCCGCACAAGCGGUGGAGCAUGUGUUUAAUUCGAAGCACGCGAAGACCUUACCAGACCUUGACAUGGUAUGUUUGAAUUACAGAAUCGUAAUUCUUCAGUUCGCUGGCACACACACAGUGCUGCAUGGCUGUCGUCAGCUCGUGUC